rnacentral:rRNA from 1 species
UGCCAGCAGCCGCGGUAACACCGGCAGCCCAAGUGGUGGUCGAUUUUAUUGGGCCUAAAGCGUCCGUAGCCUGCUCGGUAAGUCCUUGGGUAAAUCAUCGGGCUCAACCCAAUGAAUUCCAGGGGUACUGCCGGGCUUGGGACUGGGAGAGGCUAGAGGUACUCAUGGGGUAGGGGUAAAAUCCAGUAAUCCUGUGGGGACCACCAGUGGCGAAGGCGUCUAGCUAGAACGGCUCCGACGGUAAGGGACGAAGCCCAGGGGCACAAACCGGAUUAGAUA